GAGGACUGUAGUGGAUAAGCUGUAGC
rnacentral:piRNA from 1 species